CCCAAGGAUGGGGCCGCGGCCGAUCAGGUUGUUGGUGAGGUAAUGGCUCACCAAGCCUUUAACCGGUUCGGGCCGUGGGAGCGGUAGCCCGGAGAUGGGCACUGAGACAAGGGCCCAGGCCCUACGGGGCGCAGCAGUCGCGAAAACUUCGCAAUAAGCGAAAGCUUGACGGGGCCAUCCCGAGUGCCAUCUGCUGAGGAUGGCUUUUACCCAGUGUAGAUAGCUGGGAGAAUAAGGAGAGGGCAAGUCUGGUGUCAGCCGCCGCGGUAAUACCAGCUCUCCGAGUUGUGGGGACGUUUAUUGAGCCUAAAGCAUCCGUAGCCGGCUGGGCAAGUCCUCUGUUAAAUCCAGCGACAAAUCGUUGGCCUGCGGGGGAUACUGCUCGGCUAGGGGGCGGGAGAGGCCGUCGGUAUUCUUGGGGUAGGGGUGAAAUCCUAUAAUCCCAGGAGGACCACCAGUGGCGAAGGCUGUCGGCUAGAACGCGCCCGACGGUGAGGGAUGAAAGCUGGGGGAGCGAACCGGAUUAGAUACCCGGGUAGUCCCAGCUGUAAACGAU
rnacentral:rRNA from 1 species